rnacentral:tRNA from 1 species
GCUCCUGUGGUGUAGAGGCCAAGCAUUAAGCCCUCUCGCGGCUUAGACCCGGGUUCGAAUCCCGGCGGGAGCA